CCUACGGGAGGCAGCAGUGGGGGAUAUUGCACAAUGGGGGAAACCCUGAUGCAGCGACGCCGCGUGUGGGAAGACGGUCCUCUGGAUUGUAAACCACUGUCCCCAGGGACGAAGAUGACGGUACCUGGGGAGGAAGCUCCGGCUAACUACGUGCCAGAAGCCGCGGUAAUACGUAGGGAGCGAGCGUUGUCCGGAAUUACUGGGUGUAACGGGAGCGUAGGCGGGGAUGAAAGUUGGGUGUCAAAACUUACGGCCAAACUGGUAGUCGCACGCAAAACUGCAGGUCUUGAGUGAAGUAGAGGCAGGCGGAAUGCCUGGUGUAGCGGUGAAAUGCGUAGAUAUUAGGAGGAACACCAGUGGCGAAGGCGGCCUGCUGGGCUUUUACUGACGCUGAGGCUCGAAAGUGUGGGGAGCAAACAGGAUUAGAUACCCGGGUAGUC
rnacentral:rRNA from 1 species